UAUGUUGAACAAGGGGAGUAGCCUCCUCCAAACGUGAAAAAUCAAUGCCAUGCAUCACUUUCACGUGUCAGAUUAUCGUCAUUACACUUUGCAAAAAGUCGGUAUCUGAGCAUUUUAGCGCACAAAAGACAUACGCUAAAAUGUAGGCAAGACCUUGAUCAUGUUG
rnacentral:misc_RNA from 1 species